rnacentral:rRNA from 1 species
UACGUAGGGGGCAAGCGUUGUCCGGAAUUACUGGGCGUAAAGCGCACGCAGGCGGUCUGUUAAGUCAGAUGUGAAAUCCCCGGGCUUAACCUGGGAACUGCAUUUGAAACUGGCAGGCUUGAGUCUUGUAGAGGGGGGUAGAAUUCCAGGUGUAGCGGUGAAAUGCGUAGAGAUCUGGAGGAAUACCGGUGGCGAAGGCGGCCCCCUGGACAAAGACUGACGCUCAGGUGCGAAAGCGUGGGGAGCAAACAGG